ensembl:lncRNA
GGCCGUGGGAGGGGCAGCCAGAGGUGCAGGAGCAGGGAGGGGGACGGGAGGAGGCAGAGGAGAAGGGAGAGGAGGGGUGGUAGCGGUUCAGCUUCCUCUGGGGCAGGUCAGGUAGGUGGAGGGGGCUGAACCUCUCUCUCUCGUCAUAACUAGGGGGGUCAUCUGAUGCGUAGAAACGCAGGUCGUCUGCCCUCUGCGAGUGGUCGCUAGACAAGGAUCUGUGUAUGGGCUGCUGUGUGUGUAUGUGGUGUGUGUAUACGGGAGCCUGUGUGUUUGUGGAUACCGUGGCAGGUUGGUUUGUAUUGUUGAAGGUAACCGGCAUAGUUUGCUCCUGAGGGUAUGCUGUUUUUGUUUUUGGAUGCUGCAGGUGGUUGGUUAUAUCCACAUCAGCUGACUGGCUUGAGUGUAUGGCAGGGGAAUUGGUAGGGACUUGGGCAGGGGCAUGGGUAGGGACUUGGGCAGGAUCUGGGGCAGCAGGGGCUUGGUUCGGAGCUGGGGCUGGAGCUGGGGCUGAGACUGUGAGGGUUGUGGGUCUCUGUGUGUAGCUGGGGGCCUCUCCUUGUCCCUGGGUUGAGGCCUCUGGUUGCUUUGGCCUUUCAUUGGAUGUCUCUGUGUCUACUGUUGUUGAUGGUGGUUUGUGAGAGAAACUAGCGAUGAUUGUUGUUUUGGUAGGUGAAGGCCUGUAGCUAGACACUGCAGAAACUGAUAACUUUUUAUUGUAGUUAGACGCUGGGGUCGAAUUAUUCGAUAGAUGUCUGUGGAUAGUCGUAGCUGAAGUUGAUGGUUUCUCAUUGUUCACAGGUCUCUCCUCUUCUGUGUUCUGUUUGAAGGUUGAUGUUGGUGCUUCCACGGAUUUCUGCUGUAUUUCAUUGGACAGUGAAUUUGCAUCUGUCGGUUUGAACUUUGGUUUCAGUGCCAGUGGCGGACCGUUGGAUAUUGAGUGAACCUCUAUAGCUUGCGGUCUGGUGUUUGACGUGAUGUUCUUCUCUUGUUUAUCUUGUUUAUGUAUUUCUUUGGACAACGACCUCACCUCGAUCACUUGUGGUCUGUAUCUUCUCAUCAGUGCUGGUGAGCCUGGUAGCGAGCCUGGUAACUUAGGUGAGUAGGUUGAUUUCUUCACCGUCUCUUUUUCAGCAGUGUCUUCCUGUGUUUUCUUCUGUGAGGGUGGUGGUGAUGAUGUCGUGCGUUGCUCUAUGUCUCUGACCGUGGCUCUGACACUAACCCUCUCCUGAUUCGAAGGGGUCCUAACACUGUCUUCCGUUUGAGCAGAGUCUCUUCGAAGCCCGGGAGAAUUUGGGGCCGAAUGGGUAUGUGAGGAAGAGGCUGAUGCAUUGACGGAAGAUGAGGAAAAGGAUGAGGCUGAAGUUGAUGCAUUGACAGAGGUCGAGGAGAAGGAUGAGGUUUCUUUCACAGUGCUUGAGGAUGAUACGGAUGAGGCUGCUUUCACAUAGGAUGAAGAAGAGGACGAGUAAGUUCUCUGUCUGUGUGAGUCACUCGUACCCCCAUCUGAGGGUCCACGGGUCUGAAGAGGGAUCUCUAUUUGGUUGAUAUGUUUCCCUGGGACGCCUCCACCUCCACCCCCACCUUCACGCCCACUCCUUGUUAUGGCCUCUGACACAGCCUCAGAGACCAAAGACCCAAUAUCUGCCUGGUAGCCCUUCUCCUUCACCAGUAUGGACACAGAGUGGCUGGGGGUAGGGGUCUUGAUGGGGACAGUGGAAGGUGGAGUGCCUAGAACUGGGGAUGAAGCUGGUGCUGGAGGAGAAGCUGGGGCUGGCGAAGCUUUGGGACCAAGUGAGGGUGAGGAGGCCAGGAUUGGAGCUGGGGCUGGGAAUGCUGGAGCUGGACCUGGGGAACAGGCAGGAACUAAGGCUGAGAAUGACUUGGGCUUAUUAGAUCCAUCCUGUAGCACCAGAGAAGCACAAGACACUCUUCUGUCUUUACUGGGGAGUUUAGGGCUGCUGCCCAGCAUAGGUGGCUUGGUAUCUCUUCUCACCACUUCAGGUUUGUCACUAGCCUCUGAUAUACUUCGGUGUCUCCUGGUUACUCUCAGUGACUCUGUUUCACUGGGUUUCACCUUGGUGUUGCUUGGUUCUGUUUUGACAGUGUCCUUUACAGGGGUCUUGUGUUGGUUUGACUCUGUCUCUGUCACAGCUACUUCCUCUGUUGCGCAACUCUUAGGUGCUACAUCAGAGAGGUUCCGGGGUCCUUUGGACACCGGCUUAGGUUCGCCUCUAGACGUUUCUCUCUCUGUUUUGUUGGACAUUGUUGUUGUUUUGUUUUUGUUUUCUCUCCAGCUGAUAGCUUUGAAUUCCAUCUGCAUCGGCUUUUCCUCUUUCUGGAGAGAUAUUGGGUGAGGUGGUAGCUUGUCCUCUUUCUGAAGAGAUAUUGGGUGAGGUGGUAGCUUGUCCUCUUUCUGAAGAGAUAUUGGGUGAGGUGGUAGCUUGUCCUCUUUCUGAAGAGAUAUUGGGUGAGGUGGUAGCUUUUCCUCUUUCUUCUCUUCUCUCCUUACUAUUGUCUCUUCAUACCUCCCCUCUUUCCUUUCCACUCUGUCAUCUUUCUUCUCUUCCCUCCUUUCCUCCUUCCUUUCCUCUUUUCUCUCCUCCCUCCUUUCCUGUCUCGGUUCCUCUCCCCUCUCCUCACUCCUCUCCUCCUUCUCUGGUGCUGGCAUGGCCUUGAACGACAGGUUGUAUGUGUUUUUCACCAGCCUUCUCACAUCUCUCACUUUGUGCAUGGGAGCUUUGGCUUUACUGUUCCUAUUGGCAUCCAUAUUCACCAUCUGUUCAUUCAUCUUGUUCAAGGUAUUCACCCCCUUCUCUUCUUCUCUUGUUACUCUAUGUGAAGUCCCUAUUCUCCUGUCUUCCUCUCUGGUUUCUGCAUGUGAAGUCUCCACUGUCCUGUCUUCUUCUGUUGUUUCUCUCUGACAGGUCUUCCCAGGGGAGGCAGUCUCGUGGUUACCCUCAGGUUUAGUUUCUAUCUCGGGCAACAGUGAGAUGUUGAGAGAAGAGGUUUUCUUUAUCUCUGUAACAGGGCUGGGUUUCAGAGUGAUCUCUGGUGUUUUGGACAUGUAGGUGCUCUUGACACUCGGAUGUUUAUGGUUUAAAGAGUCAGAGGGGUAUUCCAGCUUUGUGUUUGUCAUUCCUGCCUGCGUGCUGCUGGCUCGGGUGGCAGUGGGAACGCUGGUGUUCCGGGCAGCUGCAUCUGCUGAGUCACCUGCCUGUUUGUAAUCCCUCUCAUCCCUCCAUUUACUGUCAUCCCUCUCAUCCCUCCAUUUACUGUCAUGUGUCUGCUUACCCCCCAUAUUGGCAUUCUUCUCUGUGGGUUUUUUACUCUCAAACGGGAACACCAGUUCAGACCUCAUCUCUGGUUUGACCGGGUCAGUUCUCCAAGAGUUUGGGUUUCUGGCAGGAGACUCAGUUCUGUCGCUGUUUCUCUGAGGACAAUUAGUAGUAGGGGGCUCAGAUCUCAUCCAAGGGCUAACAUGGUUAGGGCUUCUGUUGCUGUGAGAUUCAAUUCUCUCGUUGCUUCUCUGAGGAAAGGUAACAGGAGCAACAUGUGCGUUGGGACUCAUCUCAGGGGUUGUGCUGGUAG